AGGGGGAAAAUUAAUAAUUUAAAUUUAAUAAAAAAAAUUUUAAUAUUAAAAAGAAAAAUGGGGGUUUAAGUAUUUUUAAUAGAAAAAAUUAAUAGUUUUAUAGUUAAAUAUUACUGUAAAGGAAUUUAUAAAUAAAUGAAAUAUAAUUAAUGAAAAAGUAAAUUUAAAUUAUUGUAUCUUGUGUAUCAGAGUUUAUUAAAUAAUAAUAAUUUAUUUAAAUAAAUCUCGAAUUUAAAAGAGUUAAUUAGUUAAAAAAGUUAAUGUUGUAUAAUUAUUUUAAAUAACUAAUUGGAAAUGAAAUGUUAAUCGUUUUUAAAUAUAUCUAGUUUUUUCAGAAAAAAAUUUAAUUUUAAAUUUAAAUAAUUUUAUAAUUAUUUAAUUAAUUAUAAAAAUUUAAAUUUUAAUAUUUUAAGGGAUAAGCUUUAAAUUAAAAAUUUAUAAUUAAUAAAUAAUUAAAAUUAAAAUUUUUAAAAUUUAUAUUGUUUAAAAAUUAUAGUUUAUUAUAAAAAAUUUUAUUAAAAAAUAAAAUUUAAAAUAAAAAAAUUUAAAUUUUUAUGAAAAAAUAAUUUAUAAUUUAAUAAAAUUAGAAAUAAUGAUAAAAUUAGUAUAAUAUAAUAAAUUAAAAAAAAAUUAUAAAGAAAUAAGUUAAAGGAAUUCGGCAAAUUUUUAUAUUCACUUGUUUAUCAAAAACAUGUCUUUUUGAUAAUAAUUUAAAGUCUAAUCUGCCCACUGAUAAUAUAUUAAAGGGCUGCAGUAUAUUGACUGUACAAAGGUAGCAUAAUCAUUAGUCUUUUAAUUGAAGACUUGUAUGAAAGAUUUGAUGAAAUAUAAACUGUCUCUAAUUUAUGUUUAGAAAUUAAUUUUUUAGUUAAAAAGCUAAAAUAAUAUUAAAAGACGAGAAGACCCUAUAGAGUUUUAUAUUUUAUUUAAUUAAUGUUAAAUAUAUAAUUAAAUAUAUUAAUUAAAUAAAAUAUUUUGUUGGGGUGAUAAAAAAAUUUAAUAAACUUUUUUUUAAGUUUAAACAUAAAUAAGUGGUUAAUUGAUCCAUUAAUAAUGAUUAAAAGAAAAAAUUACCUUAGGGAUAACAGCGUAAUAUUUUUUUUUAGUACAUAUAAAAAAAAAAGUUUGCGACCUCGAUGUUGGAUUAAGAUAAAAUUUAAAUGCAAAAGUUUAAAAUUUUGAUCUGUUCGAUCAUUAAAAUCUUACAUGAUCUGAGUUCAAACCGGUGUAAGCCAGGUUGGUUUCUAUCUUUAAUAAAAAAAAAUAUUUUAGUACGAAAGGAUCAAAUAUUUAAAAUAAUUUUAUUUAAAUGAAUAUUAAUAAUAAUAGUUUA
rnacentral:rRNA from 1 species